GAAGCUGCGUAGAUUAUUUGCAUUGUGCCCACUAUUAUUAAUCAAGGAGAAAAGAUAGAGUGAGCAUGAAGUAAUAAUUCCAUAUUGAUCCGAACCAGCCCAUAUGCUCCCAUUUUUAAUAAGAUUCCUGCUAGAAGCAUACAAGAACGGUAAUGCGCUUCUCCAUGGGUUCAAGUAACCAUGUACACAAGUACAUAAUCGGCAAUUUGACAGCAAAAAGUGCCUAGGUUUUAUCCAUACCAUUUGAACUGUUGAAUUACUUUACUGUCUUGCCUAGGCAGCUCUGAGAAUUCAGAGGAUAUGGCUAAAAGUUCAAGUCAAGCUUAGUUUUUAGUGAUUUUGGUGUAGGAUAUAGAACAUCGAUAUUCUGAGACAUGAAGGUUUUUGCAGAUUGAGGAGCCCCCAUGUGCCAAAGUUGACAUUGCAAAUGUUACAGUCAUGACCUAGUGUUACGGUCUUUUUAACAGUUAAAUUUUGAUGCCCCUAUGCUGCAGGAAAAAGGAAAUAGCGCGGAGGGCAGAGACAGCUUGUAGGAUGAUACUUGCAAGGGGCAUGUGCAUUUCAGCAUUGCUGCCCUAUCUACUACAACGUUGAUUAUCUUAAAAUGGCUGUAAUAGAUAUAUCUAUGACUCAUACCAUAUAGAAGGUAAAAAACCUUUCAAGCAAGGCACCAUAAGCAGAUCAAUCAAAUAUUCUCCAGGAAGAAUACAGUUUGGGUUAGUGAGCCACAUCAUAGUGUUGUUUAAACUUCCUGUAGUGACCAACCAUUUGAAAGAAAAUUAGGCAUGUUCAUA
rnacentral:lncRNA from 1 species